CGAAAGCCUGAUCCAGCCAUGCCGCGUGUGUGAAGAAGGUCUUCGGAUUGUAAAGCACUUUAAGUUGGGAGGAAGGGCAUUAACCUAAUACGUUAGUGUUUUGACGUUACCGACAGAAUAAGCACCGGCUAACUUCGUGCCAGCAGCCGCGGUAAUAAU
rnacentral:rRNA from 1 species